UGAACAAUGUGUAAUGGAUGUGUGUCAAAAAUCUUAGUGCUGGGAAUGACCUUGAGGAAGGCUGUAGGUAUGAGAAGAGUGGAAAUUCAUGAUCGCACUGAAGUAUAUGACAUGAAGAUAAAGAGACUGGCUAUAGGAUUCAAGUGCAGAGCUGUAAAAAAGAGGAAGGUGGCAUAUUCUGAAAUGAUAUUGACAUGCACAGAUAACAAGUGAAGACAUUGUUUCAGUAAGAUGCUCAGUAUAAAUGUAGGGACAAAGUGAGAGCAAGAAACCUCUUUUAAUGUUAGGAAGAAGAACAAAGCAGCAUACCAGACAGCAGUUUAAGAUACGGAUUAUGAUGUGAGAGGAAUGAAGGAGUUUUCAUAGAGGAUUCCUUGACAAAUUUUACCAUGAUCAUCUUUCAGUAAUACUAAAGACUCAAAGAUCAUUAACGUAUGCCUAAUUUUUUUAAUGCUGUCAUCCUUUUUUCAUCCUAUCACAUACCUGUGCUAUGUAGUGACAAUUUUCAGUUUUCUUCACCCACACCUUGGUUUUUCAUUCCACCAUCACUUUCGUUUACCUCCUUAGUGAAUCUAACUGGCAGGAUAUGAGUUCUGGUCUCAUGAUAACUUAUCACUGUGAGAGCAUACCAUGAGUGAUAAAAAUGUGCAGGCCUCUUGGCUCCCUUGCCCUCCCAAUGGCCUUUUUAGUCAACUACUGAUAAGGAGAGAUAACACUAGAUCAGAGUGGGUGGUCUGAUCUUUGGUGCAGCCCAGGGUAGAACAGGCAGUGGAAGCUCAGUCCUCAUGGUGGCAGGCUGUGAAGUUUGUGUUCCCUAGUUGUCCAGAAAUAGCCAAGGUUGGAAGGUGUCACACUAUCAGUAUUAAGAGACCUCGUACCUUUGAUGAGCACAUUAUUCUUCUGCGGUGAACAAAAUAUGUAAUGUGAGAACGUUAUGAUUCAUUUUGGAAGGUGGUGAAGGAAAUAGGCUAAUAAACAUUUUCUUCCUGACUAGUAUCAUUCAUGGGGCUUCUUCACAGGAAUCCUCCGAAAAUUCCAAUGGGUGAAACUAGUCAGGAAGAAAAUGUUCCUUUACCAGCCCAUGUUUCCUUAACCACCUUCCACAAAAUAUGUAAUCUUAAACCAUAAUUUUAGUGUCUGAAAAGUGUGCUACUCAUUGCCAAGGCAUUCUUUACCUAUGAUUCCACUUAGGUUGCAGCGACACUGUGCGUGAUUUGUUGAGAGGAUAGGGGGAUGCUUAGUGGGUAGAGGUGAGCAAGGCUGUGUCCUCAUCAAAAGAUGGAAACUCACUAUGCAAUAGUCAUUGCACAGUAUAUGUGCUGAUCAUGAUCACAUCUAUCAGUGCAAUCAUUGUCACUUUAAAAAUUCUCAAGAAAAUUGCUUUUAAGAAUGUGUUUCUAAAAUUAGAUGAUCUGGAUGUUAACAUAUCUUGCUGGAUUCAUGACUUUACCAGUGAUGAAUUCAACAACAUGUAUUGUCAAGCUUGCAUGUAUAACUUAGAGUUAUCUAUGCUAACCUAUAGGAUAGUCUAAUCCUUUCAUACUGAGUUAUCUAUGCUAACCUAUAGGAUAGUCUGAUCCUUUCAUACUGCUCAUGCUUUCUACUAGUGUAAGUGCAGGUCACCUGGCGUCUCACAACCUAUUGAGCUGUUUUAAUCAACAUCUGAGUUUACAUAGUGGCAAGGAUAGCAGGUAAGCUUGGAGGGAACCUAUUAUGCAUGUCUGUCAGAUAUGUGUUUAUUUUGGCCUUUAACCUGCUAGACAUCCCACUAGCCUUUAUCCUCCUAGCAAAUUGCAUGCAAUGUGGCCACACCCUUAUGCUUGCUAUCAAGAUUUUAGACUUCAGCUUGCCUGUUAUUAAAGAAAGGAUAUUCCAUGGUAACUUUAUAGUCUCCUCUGGCCUUCACAUUGUUUUUGUGGAUGUAGUCUUAGCCUUGUACUAAUGUAAAUUUUGUAUUUAAUUUUUAUCACCAUUGUAAUAUGGUUGCCCUAGCAUGACACAUGGCCUAGUAGUCAGCAUGUCUGUACUAGUUAACUAUGUGGAAUAAUAAAUCUAACUCUAUAUGGUUA
rnacentral:lncRNA from 1 species